GCCAGCGUAGCUUACCCAAAGCGUAACACUGAAGAUGUUAAGACGGGCCAUGGAAAGCCCCGCGAGCA
rnacentral:tRNA from 1 species